rnacentral:rRNA from 1 species
UACGGAGGGGGCUAGCGUUGUUCGGAAUUACUGGGCGUAAAGCGUGCGCAGGCGGUUUGUUAAGUCUGCUGUGAAAUCCCCGAGCUCAACUUGGGAAUUGCAAUGGAUACUGGCAGGCUGGAGUAUGGUAGAGGAAGGUGGAAUUCCCGGUGUAGCAGUGAAAUGCGUAGAGAUCGGGAGGAACACCAGUGGCGAAGGCGGCCUUCUGGACCAAUACUGACGCUCAUGCACGAAAGCGUGGGGAGCAAACAGG